rnacentral:rRNA from 1 species
UACGGGGGGGGCAAGCGUUGUUCGGAAUUACUGGGCGUAAAGGGCUCGUAGGCGGCUAACUAAGUCGGAUGUGAAAUCCCCAAGCUUAACUUGGGAACUGCAUCCGAUACUGGAUGGCUUGAAUCCGGGAGAGGGAUGCAGAAUUCCAGGUGUAGCGGUGAAAUGCGUAGAUAUCUGGAGGAACACCGGUGGCGAAGGCGGAUCUCUGGGCCAUUACUGACGCUGAGGAGCGAAAGCGUGGGGAGCGAACAGG